rnacentral:rRNA from 1 species
AGUGAACGCUGGCGGUAGGCCUAACGCAUGCAAGUCGAACGGCAGCACAGUAAGAGCUUGCUCUUACGGGUGGCGAGUGGCGGACGGGUGAGGAAUACAUCGGAAUCUACUUUUUCGUGGGGGAUAACGUAGGGAAACUUACGCUAAUACCGCAUACGACCUACGGGUGAAAGCAGGGGAUCUUCGGACCUUGCGCGAUUGAAUGAGCCGAUGUCGGAUUAGCUAGUUGGCGGGGUAAAGGCCCACCAAGGCGACGAUCCGUAGCUGGUCUGAGAGGAUGAUCAGCCACACUGGAACUGAGACACGGUCCAGACUCCUACGGGAGGCAGCAGUGGGGAAUAUUGGACAAUGGGCGCAAGCCUGAUCCAGCCAUACCGCGUGGGUGAAGAAGGCCUUCGGGUUGUAAAGCCCUUUUGUUGGGGAAGAAAAGCAGCAGGUUAAUACCCCGCUGUUCUGACGGUACCCAAAGAAUAAGCACCGGCUAACUUCGCG